rnacentral:lncRNA from 1 species
AGAAAACACGUGAUUUUCGGGUUAAAUGGGGGAUUCUCGAAGAGAAAAUGCUUGGUUUUCUGGUGUAAUGGGGGAUUUGCGAAGAGAAAACGCGUGACUUUCGCUUAAAUGGGGGAUUUGAGAAAACACAUGAUUUUCGCUUAAAUGUUGGAUUCUCGAAGAGAAAACGCGUGAUUUUCACUUAAAUGGGGGAUUUCCGAAGAGAAA